rnacentral:rRNA from 1 species
GAUGAACGCUGGCGGCGUGCUUAACACAUGCAAGUCGAACGGGAUCCAAGGGGUGCUUGCACUUUUUGGUGAGAGUGGCGAACGGGUGAGUAACACGUGAGUAACCUGUCCUUUUCUUUGGGAUAAGCAUUCGAAAGGGUGUUUAAUACCUUAUGUUCUGUCUGCCUCGCAUGGGGUGGGUGGGAAAGGCUUUGGCCGGAUUUGGGUGGGCUCGCGGUCUAUCUGCUUGUUGGUGGGGUGAUGGCUUACCAAGGCUUUGACGGGUAGCCGGCCUGAGAGGGUGGUCGGUCACAUUGGGACUGAGAUCCGGCCCAGACUCCUGCGGGAGGCAGCAGUGGGGGAUAUUGCACAAUGGGCGAAAGCCUGAUGCAGCGACGCCGCGUGGGGUAUGAAGGCCUUCGGGUUGUAAACUUCUUUUGCUCUGAACAAGGCAUGCCAGUGGGUGUGUUGAGUGUAGGGGUUGAUUAGCGCCGGCUAACUACGUG